rnacentral:rRNA from 4 species
UUAAGCGACUAAGCGUACACGGUGGAUGCCUAGGCAGUCAGAGGCGAUGAAGGGCGUGCUAAUCUGCGAAAAGCGUCGGUAAGCUGAUAUGAAGCGUUAUAACCGACGAUACCCGAAUGGGGAAACCCAGUGCAAUACGUUGCACUAUCGUUAGAUGAAUACAUAGUCUAACGAGGCGAACCGGGGGAACUGAAACAUCUAAGUACCCCGAGGAAAAGAAAUCAACCGAGAUUCCCCCAGUAGCGGCGAGCGAACGGGGAGGAGCCCAGAGUCUGAAUCAGUUUGUGUGUUAGUGGAAGCGUCUGGAAAGUCGCACGGUACAGGGUGAUAGUCCCGUACACCAAAAUGCACAGGCUGUGAACUCGAUGAGUAGGGCGGGACACGUGACAUCCUGUCUGAAUAUGGGGGGACCAUCCUCCAAGGCUAAAUACUCCUGACUGACCGAUAGUGAACCAGUACCGUGAGGGAAAGGCGAAAAGAACCCCGGCGAGGGGAGUGAAAUAGAACCUGAAACCGUGUACGUACAAGCAGUGGGAGCACCUUCGUGGUGUGACUGCGUACCUUUUGUAUAAUGGGUCAGCGACUUAUAUUUUGUAGCAAGGUUAACCGAAUAGGGGAGCCGUAGGGAAACCGAGUCUUAACUGGGCGUCUAGUUGCAAGGUAUAGACCCGAAACCCGGUGAUCUAGCCAUGGGCAGGUUGAAGGUUGGGUAACACUAACUGGAGGACCGAACCGACUAAUGUUGAAAAAUUAGCGGAUGACUUGUGGCUGGGGGUGAAAGGCCAAUCAAACCGGGAGAUAGCUGGUUCUCCCCGAAAGCUAUUUAGGUAGCGCCUCGUGAACUCAUCUUCGGGGGUAGAGCACUGUUUCGGCUAGGGGGCCAUCCCGGCUUACCAAACCGAUGCAAACUCCGAAUACCGAAGAAUGUUAUCACGGGAGACACACGGCGGGUGCUAACGUCCGUCGUGAAGAGGGAAACAACCCAGACCGCCAGCUAAGGUCCCAAAGUCAUGGUUAAGUGGGAAACGAUGUGGGAAGGCACAGACAGCCAGGAUGUUGGCUUAGAAGCAGCCAUCAUUUAAAGAAAGCGUAAUAGCUCACUGGUCGAGUCGGCCUGCGCGGAAGAUGUAACGGGGCUAAACCAUGCACCGAAGCUGCGGCAGCGACACUUAGGUGUUGUUGGGUAGGGGAGCGUUCUGUAAGCCGUUGAAGGUGACCUGUGAGGGUUGCUGGAGGUAUCAGAAGUGCGAAUGCUGACAUAAGUAACGAUAAUGCGGGUGAAAAACCCGCACGCCGGAAGACCAAGGGUUCCUGUCCAACGUUAAUCGGGGCAGGGUGAGUCGACCCCUAAGGCGAGGCUGAAAAGCGUAGUCGAUGGGAAACAGGUUAAUAUUCCUGUACUUGGUGUUACUGCGAAGGGGGGACGGAGAAGGCUAGGCUGGCCGGGCGACGGUUGUCCCGGUUUAAGCGUGUAGGGGGAGUGACCAGGUAAAUCCGGUUGCUUAUCAACCCUGAGGCGUGAUGACGAUGCACUACGGUGCAGAAGCAGUUGAUGCCAUGCUUCCAGGAAAAGCCUCUAAGCAUCAGGUAACAUUAAAUCGUACCCCAAACCGACACAGGUGGUCAGGUAGAGAAUACUCAGGCGCUUGAGAGAACUCGGGUGAAGGAACUAGGCAAAAUGGUGCCGUAACUUCGGGAGAAGGCACGCUGGCGUUAGGUGAAAGGACUAGCUCCUGGAGCUGAAGCCAGUCGCAGAUACCAGCUGGCUGCAACUGUUUAAUAAAAACACAGCACUGUGCAAACACGAAAGUGGACGUAUACGGUGUGACGCCUGCCCGGUGCUGGAAGGUUAAUUGAUGGGGUCAGCCGCAAGGCGAAGCUCUUGAUCGAAGCCCCAGUAAACGGCGGCCGUAACUAUAACGGUCCUAAGGUAGCGAAAUUCCUUGUCGGGUAAGUUCCGACCUGCACGAAUGGCGUAAUGAUGGCCAGGCUGUCUCCACCCGAGACUCAGUGAAAUUGAACUCGCUGUGAAGAUGCAGUGUACCCGCGGCAAGACGGAAAGACCCCGUGAACCUUUACUAUAGCUUGACACUGAACAUUGAGCCUUGAUGUGUAGGAUAGGUGGGAGGCCUUGAAGUGUGGACGCCAGUCUGCAUGGAGCCAACCUUGAAAUACCACCCUUUAAUGUUUGAUGUUCUAACUCGGCCCCAUAAUCUGGGGUGAGGACAGUGUCUGGUGGGUAGUUUGACUGGGGCGGUCUCCUCCCAAAGAGUAACGGAGGAGCACGAAGGUUAGCUAAUCACGGUCGGACAUCGUGAGGUUAGUGCAAAGGCAUAAGCUAGCUUGACUGCGAGAGUGACGGCUCGAGCAGGUACGAAAGUAGGUCUUAGUGAUCCGGUGGUUCUGAAUGGAAGGGCCAUCGCUCAACGGAUAAAAGGUACUCCGGGGAUAACAGGCUGAUACCGCCCAAGAGUUCAUAUCGACGGCGGUGUUUGGCACCUCGAUGUCGGCUCAUCACAUCCUGGGGCUGAAGUAGGUCCCAAGGGUAUGGCUGUUCGCCAUUUAAAGUGGUACGCGAGCUGGGUUUAGAACGUCGUGAGACAGUUCGGUCCCUAUCUGCCGUGGGCGUUGGAAGAUUGAGAGGGGCUGCUCCUAGUACGAGAGGACCGGAGUGGACGAAUCACUGGUGUUCGGGUUGUCAUGCCAAUGGCAUUGCCCGGUAGCUAAAUUCGGAAGAGAUAACCGCUGAAAGCAUCUAAGCGGGAAACUUGCCUCGAGAUGAGUCUUCCCUGGGGCUUAAAGCCCCCUGAAGGAACGUUAAAGACUAUGACGUUGAUAGGCUGGGUGUGUAAGUGCAGCGAUGUAUUGAGCUAACCAGUACUAAUGAUCCGUGAGGCUUAACCUU